CUACGGGUGGCACCAGUGAGGAAUAUUGCACAAUGGAGGAAACUCUGAUGCAGCAACGCCGCGUGGAGGAUGACGCAUUUCGGUGUGUAAACUCCUUUUAUAUGUCAAGAAAAUGACGGUAGCAUAUGAAUAAGCUCCGGCUAACUCCGUGCCAGCAGCCGCGGUAAUACGGAGGGAGCAAGCGUUACUCGGAAUCACUGGGCGUAAAGGACGCGUAGGCGGGAUAGAAAGUCAGGUGUGAAAUCCUAUGGCUCAACCAUAGAACUGCACUUGAAACUUCUAACCUAGAGUAUGGGAGGGGAAGAUGGAAUUAGUGGUGUAGGGGUAAAAUCCGUAGAUAUCACUAGGAAUACCAAAAGCGAAGGCGAUCUUCUGGAACAAUACUGACGCUAAGGCGUGAAAGCGUGGGGAGCAAACAGGAUUAGAUACCCCCGUAGUC
rnacentral:rRNA from 1 species